ensembl:miRNA pma-mir-451 pma-mir-451
UGGGGGAGUGGCGACAAAACCGUUACCAUUAUUGUAACCAAUAAUGGUAAGGGUUCUCUUGCUGCUCCCCGCU